rnacentral:rRNA from 1 species
GGAAGGAGAAGUCGUAACAAGGUCUCCGUAGGUGAACCUGCGGAGGGAUCAUUACAAGUACACUAACCCGCCGGCUAUGUAUAACCCUUUGUUGUCCGACUCUGUUGCCUCCGGGGCGACCCUGCCUUCGGGCGGGGGCCCCGGGUGGACACUUCAAACUCUGCGUAACUUUGCGUCUGAGUAAAUUUAAUUAAUAAAUUAAAACUUUCAACAACGGAUCUCUUGGUUCUGGCAUCGAUGAAGAACGCAGCGAAAUGCGAUAAGUAAUGUGAAUUGCAGAAUUCAGUGAAUCAUCGAAUCUUUGAACGCACAUUGCGCCCUAGUAUUCUAGUGGGCAUGCCUGUUCGAGCGUCAUUUCAACCUCUAAGCACAGCUUACUGUUGGGAAUCUACGUCUGUAGUUCCUCAAAGACAUUGGCGGAGCGGUAGUCCUCUGAGCGUAGUAAUUUUUUAUCUCGCUUCUGUAGGCGCUGUCGUCCCGGCCGUUAAACCCCUUUUUCUGGUUGACCUCGGAUCAGGUAGGGAUACCCGCUGAACUUAAGCAUAUCAAUAAGCGGAGGA